AGGGGAGUAGCUCAGCUGGUAGAGCAUCGGUCUCCAAAACCGACGGCCGCGGGUUCGAAUCCUGUCUCCCCUG
rnacentral:tRNA from 1 species